ACGGGGUGCAGCAGGCGCGAAAACUUUACAAUGCUGGAAACAGCGAUAAGGGGACCUCGAGUGCCAGGAUACAAUCCUGGCUGUCGUAAUGCCUAAAAAGCAUUGCAUAGCAAGGGCCGGGCAAGACCGGUGCCAGCCGCCGCGGUAACACCGGCGGCUCGAGUGGUAACCGCUAUUAUUGGGUCUAAAGGGUCUGUAGCCGGCUGACUAAGUCUCUUGGGAAAUCUGGCAGCUUAACUGUCAGGCUUUCAGGAGAUACUGAUCGGCUCGAGACCGGGAGAGGUGAGAGGUACCUCAGGGGUAGGGGUGAAAUCUUGUAAUCCUUGAGGGACCACCAGUGGCGAAGGCGUCUCACCAGAACGGAUCUGACGGCAAGGGACGAAAGCUAGGGGCACGAACCGGAUUAGAUACCCGGGUAGUCCUAGCCGUAAACGAUACUCGCUAGGUGUCGGCCACGGUGCGACCGUGGUCGGUGCCGUAGGGAAGCCGUGAAGCGAGCCACCUGGGAAGUACGGCCGCAAGGCUGAAACUUAAAGGAAUUGGCGGGGGAGCAC
rnacentral:rRNA from 1 species